rnacentral:rRNA from 1 species
CGCGUAGGCGGCCUGGUAAGUCUGGAGUGAAAGUCCUGCUUUUAAGGUGGGAAUUGCUUUGGAUACUGCUGGGCUUGAGUGCAGGAGAGGUAAGUGGAAUUCCCGGUGUAGCGGUGAAAUGCGUAGAGAUCGGGAGGAACACCAGUGGCGAAGGCGACUUACUGGACUGUAACUGACACUGAGGCUCGAAAGCCAGGGAAGCGAAC